rnacentral:rRNA from 1 species
AUUGAACGCUGGCGGUAGGCUUAACACAUGCAAGUCGUGCGAGAAAGUAUCUUCGGAUAUGAGUAGAGCGGCGGACGGGUGAGUAACGCGUAGGAAUCUACCUAGUAGAAGGGGAUAGCCCGGGGAAACUCGGAUUAAUACCGUAUACCUCCUUCGGGAGAAAGAAGGCCUCUCAUUGAAGCUUUCGCUACUAGAUGAGCCUGCGUAAGAUUAGCUUGUUGGUGAGGUAAAGGCUCACCAAGGCGACGAUCUUUAGCGGGUCUGAGAGGACGAUCCGCCACAUUGGGACUGAGACACGGCCCAGACUCCUACGGGAGGCAGCAGUGGGGAAUAUUGGACAAUGGGCGCAAGCCUGAUCCAGCCAUACCGCGUGUGUGAAGAAGGCCCUAGGGUUGUAAAGCACUUUAAGUUGGGAAGAAAAGUUAUUGGUUAAUACCCAAUAGCCGUGACAUUACCAUCAGAAUAAGGACCGGCUAAUUCCG